rnacentral:rRNA from 1 species
UACGUAGGGUGCAAGCGUUGUCCGGAAUUAUUGGGCGUAAAGAGCUCGUAGGCGGUCUGUCGCGUCGGAUGUGAAAACCCAGGGCUCAACCCUGGGCCUGCAUUCGAUACGGGCAGACUAGAGUUCGGUAGGGGAGACUGGAAUUCCUGGUGUAGCGGUGAAAUGCGCAGAUAUCAGGAGGAACACCGGUGGCGAAGGCGGGUCUCUGGGCCAUAACUGACGCUGAGGAGCGAAAGCAUGGGGAGCGAACAGG